rnacentral:rRNA from 1 species
CCUACGGGAGGCUGCAAUUAGGAAUCUUGCGCAAUGGGCGAAAGCCUGACGCAGCGACGCCGCGUGACUGAUGAAGUCUUUCGGGAUGUAAAGGUCUUUUGCAGGGGACGAAGGAAGUGACGGUACCCUGCGAAUAAGCUCCGGCUAACUACGUGCCAGCAGCCGCGGUAAUACGUAGGGAGCGAGCGUUGUCCGAAUUUACUGGGCGUAAAGCGCGCGUAGGCGGGUUUUUAAGUUGGGGGUGAAAUGCCGAGGCUUAACCUCGGAACUGCCUCCAAAACUGGAAGCCUUGAGGUAUGGAGAGGGAAGUGGAAUUCCAGGUGUAGCGGUGAAAUGCGUAGAUAUCUGGAGGAACACCCGUGGCGAAGGCGGCUUCCUGGUCAUAUCCUGACGCUGAGGUGCGAAAGCUAGGGGAGCGAACG